rnacentral:rRNA from 1 species
AGACCCGAAACCCGGUGAUCUAGCCAUGGGCAGGUUGAAGGUUGGGUAACACUAACUGGAGGACCGAACCGACUAAUGUUGAAAAAUUAGCGGAUGACCUGUGGCUGGGGGUGAAAGGCCAAUCAAACCGGGAGAUAGCUGGUUCUCCCCGAAAGCUAUUUAGGUAGCGCCUCGUGAAUUCAUCUCCGGGGGUAGAGCACUGUUUCGGCCAGGGGGCCAUCCCGGCUUACCAACCCGAUGCAAACUGCGAAUACCGGAGAAUGUUAUCACGGGAGACACACGGCGGGUGCUAACGUCCGUCGUGAAGAGGGAAACAACCCAGACCGCCAGCUAAGGUCCCAAAGUCAUGGUUAAGUGGGAAACGAUGUGGGAAGGCCCAGACAGCCAGGAUGUUGGCUUAGAAGCAGCCAUCAUUUAAAGAAAGCGUAAUAGCUCACUGGUCGAGUCGGCCUGCGCGGAAGAUGUAACGGGGCUAAACCAUGCACCGAAGCUGCGGCAGCGAACGUAUCACUUAAAGCGAUUCAGCGGAUGACGAUUGACGGAGCGAAGCGACGUCAAAGCGUUUUACAACGUCGAGUCGGUUUAAGGAUACGUUCGUUGGGUAGGGGAGCGUUCUGUAAGCCUGCGAAGGUGGCCUGUGAGGGUUGCUGGAGGUAUCAGAAGUGCGAAUGCUGACAUAAGUAACGAUAAUGCGGGUGAAAAACCCGCACGCCGGAAGACCAAGGGUUCCUGUCCAACGUUAAUCGGGGCAGGGUGAGUCGACCCCUAAGGCGAGGCCGAAAGGCGUAGUCGAUGGGAAACAGGUUAAUAUUCCUGUACUUGGUGUUACUGCGAAGGGGGGACGGAGAAGGCUAUGUUGGCCGGGCGACGGUUGUCCCGGUUUAAGCGUGUAGGCUGGUUUUCCAGGCAAAUCCGGAAAAUCAAGGCUGAGGCGUGACGACGAGGCACUACGGUGCUGAAGCAACAAAUGCCCUGCUUCCAGGAAAAGCCUCUAAGCCUCAGGUAACAUCAGAUCGUACCCGAAACCGACACAGGUGGUCAGGUAGAGAAUACCAAGGCGCUUGAGAGAACCCGGGUGAAGGAACUAGGCAAAAUGGUGCCGUAACUUCGGGAGAAGGCACGCUGACACGUAGGUGAAGCGGUUUACCCGUGGAGCUGAAGUCAGUCGAAGAUACCAGCUGGCUGCAACUGUUUAUUAAAAACACAGCACUGUGCAAACACGAAAGUGGACGUAUACGGUGUGACGCCUGCCCGGUGCCGGAAGGUUAAUUGAUGGGGUCAGCGCAAGCGAAGCUCCUGAUCGAAGCCCCGGUAAACGGCGGCCGUAACUAUAACGGUCCUAAGGUAGCGAAAUUCCUUGUCGGGUAAGUUCCGACCUGCACGAAUGGCGUAAUGAUGGCCAGGCUGUCUCCACCCGGGACUCAGUGAAAUUGAACUCGCUGUGAAGAUGCAGUGUACCCGCGGCAAGACGGAAAGACCCCGUGAACCUUUACUAUAGCUUGACACUGAACACUGGUCCUUGAUGUGCAGGAUAGGUGGGAGGCUUUGAAGUGUGGACGCCAGUCUGCAUGGAGCCGUCCUUGAAAUACCACCCUUUAAUGGCUGGUGUUCUAACGUAGACCCGUGAACCGGGUUGCGGACAGUGUCUGGUGGGUAGUUUGACUGGGGCGGUCUCCUCCUAAAGCGUAACGGAGGAGCACGAAGGUUGGCUAAUCCUGGUCGGACAUCAGGAGGUUAGUGCAAUGGCAUAAGCCAGCUUGACUGCGAGCGUGACGGCGCGAGCAGGUGCGAAAGCAGGUCAUAGUGAUCCGGUGGUUCUGAAUGGAAGGGCCAUCGCUCAACGGAUAAAAGGUACUCCGGGGAUAACAGGCUGAUACCGCCCAAGAGUUCAUAUCGACGGCGGUGUUUGGCACCUCGAUGUCGGCUCAUCACAUCCUGGGGCUGAAGUAGGUCCCAAGGGUAUGGCUGUUCGCCAUUUAAAGUGGUACGCGAGCUGGGUUUAGAACGUCGUGAGACAGUUCGGUCCCUAUCUGCCGUGGGCGCUGGAGAACUGAGGGGGGCUGCUCCUAGUACGAGAGGACCGGAGUGGACGCAUCACUGGUGUUCGGGUUGUCAUGCCAAUGGCACUGCCCGGUAGCUAAAUGCGGAAGAGAUAAGUGCUGAAAGCAUCUAAGCACGAAACUUGCCCCGAG